GAAGCGGGGAUAAGUAUAUUAGACGAGAAGACCCCAUGGAGCUUUAAACCCGACAGCACCCACUUAUUUAACACCUUCUUAUCCGCCUGGUCCCUGUCUGCUCGGUUUUGGGUUGGGGUGACCGCGGAGCAUAAAAUAGCCUCCACGAAAGAAGGGAUGAUUCCCUCAUUUUAGAACUACACUUCCAAAGACUAACAAAUUAAUUUUAAGUGAUCCGAUACCCGUAUUCGAUCAACGAACCAAGUUACCCUGGGGAUAACAGCGCAAUCUACCUCAAGAGCCCCUAUCGACAGGUGGGUUUACGACCUCGAUGUUGGAUCAGGGUAUCCCAGUGGUGCAGCAGCUACCAAAGGUUCGUUUGUUCAACGAUUAAAACCCU
rnacentral:rRNA from 1 species